rnacentral:rRNA from 1 species
UACAGAGGGGGGCAAGCGUUGCUCGGAAUUACUGGGCGUAAAGGGCGCGUAGGCGGGAUGGCAAGUCGGUCGUGAAAUCCUUCGGCUCAACCGAAGAACGUCGAUCGAUACUGCUGUUCUUGAGGGUUGCAGAGGAGACUGGAAUUCCCGGUGUAGCGGUGAAAUGCGUAGAUAUCGGAAGGAACAUCAGUGGCGAAAGCGGCUUCCUGGACCAGUACCGACGUUCAGGCACGAAAGCGUGGGGAGCAAACAGG